rnacentral:rRNA from 1 species
AUACGUAGGGUGCAAGCGUUAAUCGGAAUUACUGGGCGUAAAGCGUGCGCAGGCGGUUUUGUAAGACAGUGGUGAAAUCCCCGGGCUCAACCUGGGAACUGCCAUUGUGACCGCAAGGCUGGAGUGCGGCAGCGGGGGAUGGAAUUCAGCGGGUAGCAGUGAAAUGCGUAGAUAUGCGGAGGAACACCGAUGGCGCAGGCAAUCCCCUGGGCCUGCACUGACGCUCAUGCACGAAAGCGUGGGGAGCAAACAGGAUUAGAUACCCUGGUAGUCCACGCCCUAAACGAUGUCAACUUGUUGUUGGGGAUUUAUUUUCUCAGUAACGAAGCUAACGCGUGAAGUUGACCGCCUUGGGAGUACGGCCGCAAGGUUAAAACUCAAAUGAAUUGACGGGG